rnacentral:rRNA from 1 species
UACGUAGGGUGCGAGCGUUGUCCGGAAUUAUUGGGCGUAAAGAGCUCGUAGGCGGUGUGUCACGUCGGCCGUGAAAACCUGCAGCUUAACUGUGGGCGUGCGGUCGAUACGGGCAUCACUGGAGUUCGGCAGGGGAGACUGGAAUUCCUGGUGUAGCGGUGAAAUGCGUAGAUAUCUGGAGGAAUACCGGUGGCGAAGGCGGCAUCCUGGACCAUAACUGACGCUGAGGCGCGAAAGCUAGGGGAGCAAACGGG